AUUGAACGCUGGCGGCAGGCUUAACACAUGCAAGUCGAGCGGGGUGAUGGUGCUUGCACUAUCACUUAGCGGCGGACGGGUGAGUAAUGCUUAGGGAUUUGCAUAUUAGUGGGGGACAACAUCCCGAUAGGGAUUCUAAUCUCGCAUACGUCCUACGGGAGAAAGCAGGGGAUCACGUGUCUCCUUGCGCUAAUAGAUGAGUCUAGGCCGGAUUAGCUAGCGGGGGGGGUAAAGGCCUACCAAGGGGACGAUCUGUAGCGGGUCUGAGAGGAUGAGCCGACACACUGGGACUGAGACACGGCCCAGACUCCUACGGGAGGCAGCAGUGGGGAAUAUUGGACAAUGGGGGGAACCCUGAUCCAGCCAUGCCGCGUGUGUGAAGAAGGCCUUAUGGUUGUAAAGCACUUUAAGCGAGGAGGAGGCUCUUUUGGUUAAUACCCAAGAUGAGUGGACGUUACUCGCAGAAUAAGCACCGGCUAACUCUGUGCCAGCCGCCGCCGUAA
rnacentral:rRNA from 1 species